rnacentral:rRNA from 1 species
UACGUAGGGUGCAAGCGUUGUCCGGAAUUAUUGGGCGUAAAGGGCUCGUAGGCGGUCCAUCGCGUCGGGAGUGAAAAGCUGGGGCUCAACCCCAGUCCUGCUUCCGAUACGGGUGGACUAGAGGUAUGCAGGGGAGAACGGAAUUCCUGGUGUAGCGGUGAAAUGCGCAGAUAUCAGGAGGAACACCAAUGGCGAAGGCAGCUCGCUGGGACGGUACUGACGCUGAGACGCGAAAGCGUGGGGAGCAAACAGG